rnacentral:rRNA from 1 species
AACGAACGCUGGCGGCAGGCUUAACACAUGCAAGUCGAACGCACCUUUCGGGGUGAGUGGCAGACGGGUGAGUAACGCGUGGGAAUCUACCCUUCUCUACGGGAUAGCUCCGGGAAACUGGAAUUAAUACCGUAUACGUCCUGAGGGAGAAAGAUUUAUCGGGGAAGGAUGAGCCCGCGUUGGAUUAGCUAGUUGGUGGGGUAAAGGCCUACCAAGGCGACGAUCCAUAGCUGGUCUAAGAGGAUGAUCAGCCACAUUGGGACUGAGACACGGCCCAAACUCCUACGGGAGGCAGCAGUGGGGAAUAUUGGACAAUGGGCGCAAGCCUGAUCCAGCCAUGCCGCGUGAGUGAUGAAGACCCUAGGGUUGUAAAGCUCUUUCAGUGGGGACGAUAAUGACGGUACCCACAGAAGAAGCCCCGGCUAACUUCGUA